rnacentral:misc_RNA from 1 species
AGGUGGGACAGAUGAUUGGGGUGAGGUCGUAACAAGGUAGCCGUAUCGGAAGGUGCGGCUGGAUCAAUCCCUUUCUAAGGAUAUUAUACGGAAUAUAAGACCUUGGGUCUUAUAAACAGAACGUUCCCUGUCUUGUUUAGUUUUGAAGGAUCAUUCCUUCGAAACGUGUUCUUUGAAAACUAGAUAACAGUAGACAUCACUUUCAAUUAGUAACACAAGAUAUCACAU